rnacentral:rRNA from 1 species
UACGGAGGGAGCUAGCGUUAUUCGGAAUUACUGGGCGUAAAGCGCACGUAGGCGGCUAUCCAAGUCAGAGGUGAAAGCCUGGAGCUCAACUCCAGAACUGCCUUUGAAACUAGAUGGCUUGAAUCCAGGAGAGGUGAGUGGAAUUCCGAGUGUAGAGGUGAAAUUCGUAGAUAUUCGGAAGAACACCAGUGGCGAAGGCGGCUCACUGGCCCGGUACUGACGCUGAGGUGCGAAAGCGUGGGGAGCAAACAGG